AGAGGCCGGGCACACCUACAGAAGUCAGAGGUAGGAUGUCAUGCAAAGGCCGCGGAUCGUCGCUUCAGAUGGAAGACUCAUAGGAAAAGAGGAUAACACGCACUUUUACGCUUUAAUUUUAGUAAAUUGGUCCGAACGUUAGUCCUUGUGCUUUCGAUCGUGGAGCACUGAAAUCGACGAGUUACUCAAAAUGUUUAGCGGUUAGCUACAAGCUAGCGGCAGCAACGAUGAACUGUGAAGCACAGGUAGAUCAUGUAUACAGCAUCGGCUAGUAGUAGCUCCCUCGAAUUAUCUCGCGUGACUGGGACGUAAAGUGAACCACGGACGACACUGAGGUUGGACCAGAGACCCAGUUAAGGUCAGCCAGACCCAACGAUGACGGGGAAAGCUUCGUGGGCCUUCUGAUGAAGACACCUGUGGAGGCCAGUUAGCGCCAUUGGUGACCGGAAAAGGCUGCGAGUGCCCCCGACCAAGGUUUCAGCCUCCACUGCCACCUGCUUCUCUGCUGACUGCCAAGCUGUUUCUCCAGGACUGACGCAGAACUAUGCCUCACGCACACAAACACCAGGAGAACACCAUACUGUGAUUACUGGCUGUAGUUGCAAGGUCAAGCUGGUGAAUCAAACAGCCAUCCCAGUAGACACCACUUCCCUAUGGGACAUGAAAGGCCUGGACAACAAGCACGCCGCUGAGCCCAUAGUGCUCCCACAACCUCGCAACCAGGACGUCUGCUGGGAAUCACGGCAGGAGACACUCCCUGUGGGCUGGAGCCCUUUGGAGAUGUACACUCAGCAGCAGAGGAUCAAAGCCUGGUGGAGAAAAUAGAUCAGAUUAAUGAAGCCAAGCUGUUUCUGCAGCUCAGAGACAUGGAUGGUGACCAGCAUGGCUAAAUCUGCUCCUCUACAGAUUUUUUUUAAUGUUAGUUAUUUUUUGGUAUGCUGCACACAAAAUGUCUCAUGGACUAAGCUCAAAUGUGCAACAAAAUUCAGAACCCAAUUACUGUAUUAAUAAUAAGCUGUCAGGGACCAACUCUUGGAGUUCAGCUUUGGUCCACAUGUAACCCACCAUCACUGCUUACUGGUUUAGUUUGUUGUUAGAGGAUCAUUGCCUGAAGAUUGAAGGAGCAAAACACCAGAGUGCUUGCAUGAGUGGACACAUUGUAAAGAACAGAUUCACCAUAUUGAGUGUUGGAGGUAAAACCAGAAGUAACUGCACAAGCAAAUUUUGUCGUUAUCCGUCACCACUGUAAAUGACCACUUUCACAUGCAAGAAGUCAUGUGAUCUACUGUCAAUAUAAAAAUAUUGAUUAUAA